UACGUAGGUGGCAAGCGUUGUCCGGAAUUAUUGGGCGUAAAGCGCGCGCAGGUGGUUUCUUAAGUCUGAUGUGAAAGCCCACGGCUCAACCGUGGAGGGUCAUUGGAAACUGGGGAACUUGAGUGCAGGAGAGAAGAGUGGAAUUCCACGUGUAGCGGUGAAAUGCGUAGAGAUGUGGAGGAACACCAGUGGCGAAGGCGACUCUUUGGCCUGUAACUGACACUGAGGCGCGAAAGCGUGGGGAGAAAACAGG
rnacentral:rRNA from 1 species